UACAGAGGUCCCAAGCGUUGUUCGGAUUUACUGGGCGUAAAGGGUGCGUAGGUGGUGAGGUAAGUCUGAUGUGAAAUCUCCGAGCUUAACUCGGAAAUGGCAUUGGAAACUACCUUGCUAGAGGGUUGGAGGGGGGACUGGAAUACUUGGUGUAGCAGUGAAAUGCGUAGAUAUCAAGUGGAACACCAGUGGCGAAGGCAGCACUCUGGGACGGUACUGACGCUGAGACGCGAAAGCGUGGGGAGCAAACAGG
rnacentral:rRNA from 1 species